UACGUAGGGUGCGAGCGUUGUCCGGAAUUAUUGGGCGUAAAGAGCUCGUAGGCGGCUUGUCGCGUCGGAUGUGAAAGCCCGGGGCUUAACUCCGGGUCUGCAUUCGAUACGGGCAGGCUAGAGUUCGGUAGGGGAGAUCGGAAUUCCUGGUGUAGCGGUGAAAUGCGCAGAUAUCAGGAAGAACACCCGUGGCGAAGGCGGGUCUCUGGAACGCAACUGACGCUGAGACGCGAAAGCGUGGGGAGCAAACAGG
rnacentral:rRNA from 1 species